GAUAUAACUCUGGGCCCAUGCCCUAGGCAAUGUCACUCUCCUCUUUCGCCUGGGCCCUCUCCUUAGUGGGGAUUGUGACAUAUUACUUCUCCUAGCACCUAGGCGAUGGAACUUCCUCUCAUGCCCGGGCCCUGCCUAUGUGAGUGAUUGAAUAGAUGGCUAGACGCAGCCUCUAUAUUAUGCCACUCUCUUCUUCCUGAGCUCUACCCACAAAGGAAAGAUUGUGGCAUAUUACUGAACUAAGCAACCUAGUGACGUGUCUCUUCUGACUGGGGCUUGCCCACAGAGACAACUGUGACAUAGCACUGAGCCCAGGACCCAGGUGAUGUGACUCUGCUGCCUGUUUCCAACAUUCAUGAGAGGAUGGUAACUAUCCCUUGCCAAGAACUCAGGUGAUUUGACUGUCCUGCCUUGUUGCUGCCCUCAGAGAAGAUUGUGAUAUAUCUUCAGCCCCAAACCCAGACUUUCCUGCAGGAGUGAUGCUGACAUGUUCCUCUAUUUGGCAUCUGAGUGAUAUGACUCUUGCCAUGGUCUAGCCCACAGAUGGAAUUGUGAUGUGUUGCUGUACCCAGCACCUAGGUGAUGUAACUCCAUUUUUCUGCCUUGGCAUUGCUCACAAAAGGUAUUUUGACAUAUCUCUGGGGUAUGUACCCAGGUUUCAUGACUCUCUUGCCUGUGCCCUGUCCACAAAUUGUCAUGAAAUAUUGCUGGGUCCAACACCCAGGGAUGUAACUCUCAUGCCUAGGCCCUGCCAACAGGGGGAAUUGUGACAAAUCUGUGUCAAUAACCCAGGUUAUGUGACUCUCUUUUUUUGCCUGGUCCCUGCUCACAGAGGGCAUUAUGACAUAUUGCUGAACUCAGCACCUAACUGAUGUGAUUCUCCUUUCUAGUUUUUGCCCACAGGGGAGAUUGUGACAUAUCACUGGGCCUCAAACUAAGGUGAAGUUACACUUUCAUUUUCGAACUGUACUCAGAAGGCAUCGUGACAUAUUCCUGGGCCCAGCACCAAGGUGAUGUGAGUCUCCUGCCUGCACUUUGCCCACAAAUGGCAUUGUAACAUAUCUUUAGACCUAUCAACUACUUGAUAUGACUUAUUUUUUUAAAGUGAAAGCAAGUUUAUUAGAGAAGUAAAUAAACAAAAGAAUGGCUACUCCAUAGACAGAGAAGACCUCAGGGCUGCUCAUUGGCUCUUUUCAUGGUUAUUUCUUGAGUACAUACUAAACAAGGGAUGGAUUAUUUGUGAGUUUUCCAGGGAAAGGAUGGGCAAUUUCCAGAACUCAGGGUGCCUUCC
rnacentral:lncRNA from 1 species